rnacentral:rRNA from 1 species
CUUUCAUGGAGAGUUUGAUCCUGGCUCAGGACGAACGCUGGCGGCGUGCCUAAUACAUGCAAGUCGAGCGCUAGGGGUGCUCCCUUAGGGGAGACC